UCCUGGCGGAAGUGGCGGGCCGGCCGCGCGCGCCCCCCGCCGGCGGGAGGGCGAAUGGCCGCUGCUGGAACCGACGGGAGCGCGUGACCUUGUGUGGAUGGACGAGGAACUCCUGGACAAGCUUAGACACUAAAAGGAGGCCUAUGGAGGGUGGAAGCAGGAGCUGAAGCCUGGCAGGAAUACAGAGAGGUCGUCCAAGCAGCCAGGGAUCAGGUUAAAACCUCUGAGAGAAUUAAACAUCAAGAACAAAGAGAAAAGCUUCUGCAGGAUGUGCUCCAGCCACACUGCCCAGGCUGCAGAAGGGAAAGGCACGGCCUGGGAGACAGAAGAAUCACCUGCUGGUGAAGAUGGGGUUCAAGGCCAUCUAAAGCACCUGAAGGUGCACAAGUCCAUGCAACCUGAUCAGAUGUAUCCACACAUCCUAAAGGAACUGCUGUUUCCCUCCUCAGAGAUUCUCCAGCUUCUUCUACACCAUUCAUAGAUGACACAGGCCUUCCUGCAUUGUAGGUGUGUUUCCUUGGAGGGAAGCAAGAGGUUUGGGCACACUCCCUAUUUUUACCAGCUAUUUUUCCAUGCAAUCUUCGAGGCUGGAGAGCAGCAUGGGAAAAGCAGAGCUGUUGUGUUUUUACCACUAGACUGGAAACAUGCCUACCCUAGCACAAUGCUCCCUUCUUCCCACCUGCCGCUGCUCUGUCCUCUUUACUUUCGGCCCUUCCAACUGCAUCCUUGCAUGCAUGCUCACACCAAAAAUGCUCAAGGAGAGUAAAAACUAAUAGCCCUUAACCUCUGGUGCCUAUAAUUCAGCAAUGGCCUAAGGAACCUGGCCCCAGCUGCUAGAGAACCCCCCCAGGAGGAAGCACAUUCACAGCACAUCAGCUGUAGUGCACUUUGCCAAAUCAGAGUGACUUCUGCACGUCCAAGUGAGGAACAGCCCACAGGAGGCAGGAUGGAAAUCGCCCUUGGGGAUUUCACAAGGGUGCUGUGAAACACACACAACUCAGCUUUUCUGAGAAUUCAGCUGCUCAGCAGUGAGGCUUGUGCCACCACCUCUUCCCCCACAGGGUGAACCGAGGCUCAGGACAAGGAAUAGCCACGAUGGCGCUGGCAGAAACAGUGAGCUUGAGGCCCACAGGCAGAAAAUAAACCUGCUGAAAAAAAAAGAAUAAAUCAGCUUUGCAAUCAACAGAGGUGGAAGAGCAGGAAAUGGAGGGAAUUUCUUCCACGCAAGGUGGAAUUUGGAAAGACUUAGCUCAAAUCUAGACUCCACUGCCCAAAGGCCAAAAAGGUAUUGAUGCCAACCCAAACCGAGUGGAGCUCCAGCAACCUCUGUUCAUACAUUCAGAGACGCGCAGCUUCUGUGUUUGGCAGAACCAUUUAAUAGCAGAAUUGAAAACUCGGUAUGUUCCAUUUUAGUCUUAUGUGGAAAAUCAGUGCAGGUGAUAAUCUAAUUGUACAACAACAUGUUAAAAAAAUUUAUUUUACAUUAUAUACAUUAGGGAACAUAUUUCAAAGCAUUACCCAUCACAACAAUAACGCAGGCCAUAAAUCACUUUUAAUUUAGUUUGGUUUUAGUGUAUAUUAUCACAAUAAAAUAUAAAGAACAUAUACAAAAAAA